rnacentral:rRNA from 1 species
UACAGAGGUCUCAAGCGUUGUUCGGAUUCAUUGGGCGUAAAGGGUGUGUAGGUGGCGCCGUAAGUCGGGUGUGAAAUUUCGGAGCUUAACUCCGAAACUGCAUUCGAUACUGCGGUGCUUGAGGACUGGAGAGGAGACUGGAAUUCCUGGUGUAGCGGUGGAAUGCGCAGAUAUCAGGAGGAACACCAAUGGCGAAGGCAGCUCGCUGGGACGGUACUGACGCUGAGGCGCGAAAGCGUGGGGAGCGAACAGG